ensembl:snRNA U6 U6 spliceosomal RNA
ACGCUCGCUUCAGCAGCACAUAUACUAAAAUUGGAACGGUACAGGGAUGAGCACGGCCCCUGCAUGAGGAUGACACCCAAAGUCGUGAAGCAUUCCACAUUUUC